rnacentral:rRNA from 1 species
UACGAAGGGGGCUAGCGUUGCUCGGAAUCACUGGGCGUAAAGCGCACGUAGGCGGGUUGUUAAGUCAGGGGUGAAAUCCUGGAGCUCAACUCCAGAACUGCCUUUGAUACUGGCAAUCUUUGAGUCCGGGAGAGGUGGGUGGAACUGCGAGUGUAGAGGUGAAAUUCGUAGAUAUUCGCAAGAACACCAGUGGCGAAGGCGGCUCACUGGCCCGGUACUGACGCUGAGGCACGAAAGCGUGGGGAGCAAACAGG